rnacentral:rRNA from 1 species
UACGGGGGAGCAAGCGUUGUUCGGAUUUACUGGGCGUAAAGGGCGCGUAGGCGGCGUGGCAAGUCACUUGUGAAAUCUCCGGGCUUAACUCGGAACGGUCAAGUGAUACUGCUGUGCUAGAGUGCGGAAGGGCAACUGGAAUUCUUGGUGUAGCGGUGAAAUGCGUAGAUAUCAAGAGGAACACCUGCGGCGAAGGCGGGUGCUGGGCCGACACUGACGCUGAGGCGCGAAAGCUAGGGGAGCGAACGG